rnacentral:rRNA from 1 species
GCAUAUCAAUAAGCGGAGGAAAAGAAAAUAACAAUGAUUCCCCUAGUAACUGCGAGUGAAGAGGGACAAGCUCAAAUUUUAAAUCUAUCGGGUUUCACCUGAUCGAGUUGUAAUUUGAAGAGGCGUUUUCUGUGUUUCUGAUCAGUCCAAGUCCUUUGGGAUAAGGCAUCACGGAGGGUGAGAAUCCCGUUCGGUUGAUCAGAUUCGCUUUACGAUACGUCAUCAAAGAGUCAAGUUGUUUGGGAUUGCAGCUUAAAAUGGGAGGUAAAUUUCUCCUAAGGCUAAAUAACGGCGAGAGACCGAUAGCGAACAAGUACCGUGAGGGAAAGAUGAAAAGAACUUUGAAAAGAGAGUUAGACAGUACGUGAAAUUGUUGAAAGGGAAACGAUUGAAGCCAGUCGUACCGGUGGGUAAUCAGCCUUUCGGUGUGAUUAUGUGGAGUAUGAGGAGUUAAACGCCCUUGUGCCUGCAUAUUCGUGCUCUUUGGGUGUACUUGCCCGCAUGGUAGGUUAACAUCAAUUUCGGACGUCAUAAAAUGGUUGGAGGAAUGUAGCUUCGAUCUUGUAUUGAAGUGUUAUAGCCUUCGGCAGAUGUGAUGAUCGGGAUUGAGGAUUGCAACGGAUACCCUUCGGGGCUACCCGUCUGAUCUCUGAUGGUUGCUCUGGUGCCGAAAGCGUGCUUACGGUUAUCAAAGUUGACGGUCAACAGGUUAGAACGGGUUAAAUUCGUUAAGGAUGUUGACGUAAUGG